GACGAACGCUGGCGGCGUGCUUAACACAUGCAAGUCGAACGGAAAGGCCCUGCUUUUGUGGGGUGCUCGAGUGGCGAACGGGUGAGUAACACGUGAGUAACCUGCCCUUGACUUUGGGUUAACUUAAGGAAACUGGGGCUAAUACCGGAUAGGAGCUCCGGCGGCAGGGGGGGGGUGGGAAAGUUUCGGCGGUUGGGGAUGGACUCGCGGCUUAUCAGCUUGUUGGUGGGGUAGUGGCUUACCAAGGCUUUGACGGGUAGCCGGCCUGAGAGGGUGACCGGCCACAUUGGGACUGAGAUACGGCCCAGACUCCUACGGGAGGCAGCAGUGGGGAAUAUUGCACAAUGGGCGGAAGCCUGAUGCAGCAACGCCGCGUGCGGGAUGACGGCCUUCGGGUUGUAAACCGCUUUCGCCUGUGACGAAGCGUGAGUGACGGUAAUGGGUAAAGAAGCACCGGCUAACUACGUG
rnacentral:rRNA from 1 species